AGAGUUUGAUCCUGGCUCAGGAUGAACGCCGGCGGUGUGCCUAAUACAUGCAAGUCGUACGCACUGGCCCAACUGAUUGAUGGUGCUUGCACCUGAUUGACGAUGGAUCACCAGUGAGUGGCGGACGGGUGAGUAACACGUAGGUAACCUGCCCCGGAGCGGGGGAUAACAUUUGGAAACAGAUGCUAAUACCGCAUAACAACAAAAGCCACAUGGCUUUUGUUUGAAAGAUGGCUUUGGCUAUCACUCUGGGAUGGACCUGCGGUGCAUUAGCUAGUUGGUAAGGUAACGGCUUACCAAGGCGAUGAUGCGUAGCCGAGUUGAGAGACUGAUCGGCCACAAUGGAACUGAGACACGGUCCAUACUCCUACGGGAGGCAGCAGUAGGGAAUCUUCCACAAUGGGCGCAAGCCUGAUGGAGCAACACCGCGUGAGUGAAGAAGGGUUUCGGCUCGUAAAGCUCUGUUGUUGGAGAAGAACGUGCGUGAGAGUAACUGUUCACGCAGUGACGGUAUCCAACCAGAAAGUCACGGCUAACUACGUGCCAGCAGCCGCGGUAAUACGUAGGUGGCAAGCGUUAUCCGGAUUUAUUGGGCGUAAAGCGAGCGCAGGCGGUUGCUUAGGUCUGAUGUGAAAGCCUUCGGCUUAACCGAAGAAGUGCAUCGGAAACCGGGCAACUUGAGUGCAGAAGAGGACAGUGGAACUCCAUGUGUAGCGGUGGAAUGCGUAGAUAUAUGGAAGAACACCAGUGGCGAAGGCGGCUGUCUGGUCUGCAACUGACGCUGAGGCUCGAAAGCAUGGGUAGCGAACAGGAUUAGAUACCCUGGUAGUCCAUGCCGUAAACGAUGAGUGCUAGGUGUUGGAGGGUUUCCGCCCUUCAGUGCCGGAGCU
rnacentral:rRNA from 1 species